CUUUACUGUAGCUUUGCAUUGGACUUUGAACCGGUCUGUGUAGGAUAGGUGGGAGGCUUUGAAGCCAGGACGCUAGUUCUGGUGGAGCCGACCUUGAAAUACCACCCUGAUUUGUUUGAGGUUCUAACCAUGGCCUGUGAAUCCAGGUCUGGGACCGUGCAUGGUAGGCAGUUUGACUGGGGCGGUCUCCUCCCAAAGUGCAACGGAGGAGUACGAAGGUACGCUAAGUACGGUCGGACAUCGUGCUAAUAGUGCAAUGGCAAAAGCGUGCUUGACUGCGAGUCCCACAAGACGAGCAGGUACGAAAGUAGGUCACAGUGAUCCGGUGGUUCUGUAUGGAAGGGCCAUCGCUCAACGGAUAAAAGGUA
rnacentral:rRNA from 1 species